AGAGGGCAGAGGUCAGCAAGUCGGGGAAAGGGAAAAGUAAUGGCAUUUCCCUCAAGUAAACAAAACCACAAAAUGUUUUCAGAAUUGAGCAAAAGUUUUAAGAGAACAUGCUUCCAUAGAUAGGGAAGCUGCUCAACUGGUCUGUUACUGUCGGCGUCUGAAUGUUGCUAAAUCCCUGAGUUUCUCUCCCUUUGAAGAGUGAUGGAAGAAGAAAAAGCAUGGCCUCUGGAUUAGACCAAAUUGACUUUGAACACUGACUUUGCCAUGUACCGGCUGUGUGACCUUGGGAAGCUCUCCCAAACUUUGUGAGCCUCAGGUUCUUCAUCUGCAAAGUGGGUGCAAUCCCGCCCAGCUGGAAGUGUGGAGGUGAGGAGAGAGCAAGUUUCUACAGGGCCACUCAAGUCAGAGGAAUUUCCUUCCUCUUGGAUCUGCACUCACCUACAUGCUAAAGAGAAGUAUCCUGUGAGCAAAAGGAAGAUGGAGAUACUCUGGGGCUUGAGCAGAGACGAGCUCUCAGGAGGUCAAAGAAGUUUCCUAUGUGAGUAAGACUGGCAAUAAAUAACCCCGUUCCCCAGGAAAUGACCA
rnacentral:lncRNA from 1 species